rnacentral:rRNA from 1 species
GACGGAGGAUGCAAGCGUUAUCCGGAAUUAUUGGGCGUAAAGCGUCCGCAGGUGGCUGUUCAAGUCUGCUGUCAAAGCGCAGAGCUUAACUCUGUACAGGCGGUGGAAACUGAAGAGCUAGAGUAUGGUAGGGGUAGAGGGAAUUCCCGGUGUAGUGGUGAAAUGCGUAGAGAUCGGGAGGAAUACCUGUGGCGAAGGCGGCCUACUGGGCCGGACCUGACGCUGAGACGCGAAGGCGUGGGGAGCGAACGGG